rnacentral:rRNA from 1 species
CAAGUCGUACGAGAAAGUGGAGCAAUCCAUGAGUAAAGUGGCGACCGGGUGAGUAACACGUGACUACCUACCUUCUAGUGGGGGAUAACUCCGGGAAACCGGAGCUAAUACCGCAUAACAUCGCAAGAUCAAAGCAGCAAUGCGCUGGAAGAGGGGGUCGCGGCUGAUUAGCUAGUUGGUAGGGUAAUGGCCUACCAAGGCAAAGAUCGGUAUCCGGCCUGAGAGGGCGCACGGACACACUGGAACUGAAACACGGUCCAGACUCCUACGGGAGGCAGCAGUGGGGAAUUUUGCGCAAUGGGGGAAACCCUGACGCAGCAACGCCGCGUGGAGGAUGAAGUCCCUUGGAACGUAAACUCCUUUCGACCAAGACGAUAAUGACGGUACUGGUGGAAGAAGCACCGGCUAACUCUGUGCCAGCAGCCGCGGCAAUACAGAGGGUGCGAGCGUUGUUCGGAAUUAUUGGGCGUAAAGGGCGCGUAGGCGGCGCCACAAGUCACUUGUGAAAACUCUGGGCUCAACUCAGAGCCUGCAAGCGAAACUGUGGUGCUGGAGUAUGGGAGAGGUGCGUGGAAUUCCCGGUGUAGC